rnacentral:lncRNA from 10 species
ACCAGCUGUUAUGAUUCAUCCCACUUAAGAUUUCUGCCUUUUGACAAGUGACGCUAAUAGACCUAGGCUGAAUGGUGUCUGAUUGGGAGAAUUUUCUUUUUGAAAGCAGUUUGAUUUCUAGUGCCUCAGCAACUGAACUUUUUACUUUAACAGGUACGCUCCAAUUUCCAGUUUCUGUGGAAAUUCAAUAGAGAGAUAAAUGUUGUUUUCAUCAAGUGUUUGUACCAGCUAUUAUUUCUUCCUGAAAAACAAACAAGCAAGACCAAGAAAUUCUCGAGUUCUCUUCAGAGACCAACUGGGGAUCAACAAUUCAAUUUAAUUCUGACACCCAAGCUUUUGGUUCCAGAGGGCCAUAGUCUUCAUAUACUUCAGCACUCCAUGAAGGCUUUCUUGGUACUGUUCAAAGGCCAGAGGAUCUACUACCACAGAACCAUUCUAGAUGUGAGUUCCUAGUGUGAAAGGACUGGGAGUUAACAGAAGAGCCACAGUGAGCCAUAUCUUUGUGAAGCUGCCUUUUCUUCAUAUACUUCAACCAAAAUUUCAUAUUGCAGCAGGUUGAAUGCUGAAGUACAUAUCAGAAUCCAGCAUUCUUCUAUUAAGCCAGACACUGAAGAGAUUUGCAAAAAUAUAAAACAAUGCAAUUCUUCUCAUUAACAUUA